UAGAAUUGACGGGGCCCGCACAAGCGGCGGAGCAUGCGGAUUAAUUCGAUGCAACGCGAAGAACCUUACCAAGGCUUGACAUACACCGGUAACGCCCAGAGAUGGGUGCCCCUUUGUGGUCGGUGGACAGGUGGUGCAUGGUUGUCGUCAGCUCGUGUCGUGAGAUGUUGGGUUAAGUCCCGCAACGAGCGCAACCCUCGUCCUAUGUUGCCAGCGGGUCAUGCCGGGGACUCAUGGGAGACUGCCGGGGUCAACUCGGAGGAAGGUGGGGAUGACGUCAAAUCAUCAUGCCCCUUAUGUCUUGGGCUUCACGCAUGCUACAAUGGCCGGUACAAAGGGCUGCGAUACCGCGAGGUGGAGCGAAUCCCAGAAAGCCGGUCUCAGUUCGGAUUGGGGUCUGCAACUCGACCCCAUGAAGUCGGAGUCGCUAGUAAUCGCAGAUCAGCAACGCUGCGGUGAAUACGUUCCCGGGCCUU
rnacentral:rRNA from 1 species